rnacentral:rRNA from 1 species
CGGGUGAGUAACGCGUGAGGAACCUGCCUCAAAGAGGGGGAUAACAGUUGGAAACGACUGCUAAUACCGCAUAAGCCCACGGCUCGGCAUCGAGCAGAGGGAAAAGGAGCAAUCCGCUUUGAGAUGGCCUCGCGUCCGAUUAGCUAGUUGGUGAGGUAAUGGCCCACCAAGGCGACGAUCGGUAGCCGGACUGAGAGGUUGAACGGCCACAUUGGGACUGAGACACGGCCCAG